UUCUAGUAGUAGGCAUAUGCAUGUAGUUCAGGAUCACUCGUGCACUAUGGAGCUGAGCGGCAGGGCCGCAGCACCAACGGAGUCAUGGCAGGCGCCGCUCUGGCAGCCCUUGCCGCAGAACUGAACGCCGAGGCCGCAGUAUCCAUACCGGCUGCAGCAGAAGUUGCUCAGGCACGGCUUGUCGGCGUUGCACUUGAUGUUGGCGCGGCAAGGCCCGUUCUGGCAGCCGUCGCCGCAGUACUCCUGGCCGAAGCCGCAGUACCCGUCGCCGCUGCAGCAGUGGUUGUUGGGGCACGUCACCGCGUUCGCCCCGGCCUGGGCGCCGCAGCGUUUGCUCUUGUAGCAGGCGCCGCUCUGGCAGCCGUCGCCGCAGUAGUUGGAGUCCAUGCCGCAGUACCCCCACGCGCUGCAGCAGAGGUUGUUGGGGCACUCCAUGCCGUCGGCCUGUUGGCCGCACUGCUCGGCGUGCGCGCCCGCCACGGCGAUGGCGAGGACGACUACAGCGCCGAGUGUGAGGGCCUUAGUGCUCAUCAUCUUCUUCCUGUCAGUUGGCUUGUGGUGGAUCUAGUACUGGUUGUGUGUGAGUAAACGGGUGGUGAUCUCCUCCCUUUAUAUAGGCAGGGUCAGGUUCUGGUUCAGUUCAGUUUCUUAGUUGUGGCAUCUCUUGCCAAGAAAAGAAAAAUGCAAGUCCACACCUUCGUUCCCCCGGCUGUUGCAGCUCUCCAUGUGCCUUUGAGAUUCGUGUUUUCUCGGAAUACAACACCUCAACAUUACCUAUUACUAGCAAAAGAGCCCGUGCGUUGCAACGGAAGAGAAAAUAACACACGUUCUGAACGCAAUAUAUUUUCACAUGUCAUCAUAUUUGUGUUGCCGACGAUGGCUUUAGUGCUCACACAAUGAAAACGCGUUUGAAUAUACAGUCACUCAAAAUAAGAUGAGAAAUAUGUUGUUUCUCCCCACGAGGUUUUCCAAAGGUGUGCAUGUGUUGUUAGCGAUGUUUUCUUUCCUCUCAAUUUAGUUUUAAUUUAAUGGAUGUUUAUUGCAAUUCGUAUCGUCGCCGGAAAGAGAGAGAAAAAUGACGUGCACUACAGAUUAAGUUUGCACAAAAAUAAUAUUUAAGAAGUAUUCAACAGCUAAAAAUAACAUCCUAUUUAGACUCUACACAUUUUUUUAAUCAAAUUUCAUAUAUAAAAUGUUAAAAUCAGAGUUACGGUUUAAAAGAUAUGGAUAAUUUUGUUUUAGAUAAAAUGUGGAUUGAUUAAGUGAAAAGUUAGGUUUUUUUUGUUAAAAUACGGAGGGCGGAUUGAUUACCUGAAACAUCAGGGGGUUUCAAAAAAAAAUGCAAAAAAAAGGUUCGUUUUCUGACUUAAAUCCGGACUGCGGGUUGAUUACCUGAAACAUCAGGGGAUUUUCUGAAAAAUGCAAAAAAAGAUUUGUUUUUGACUCAAAAAAGGACUGCGGGUUAAAUACUGAAAAAGCGAGGGGCAUUUUUACAAAAUGACCGCAAUGGACGGCAAAAGCGCUCCGCGCUUUAUUAUUAGAAAGAGAAUAAAACGUCUAUGCGUUGUGAGGGGCCUUCAGUUGUAUAAAACAUGAUGAAGUUUUUACGUCUUUUAGCGCCAUCGCCUCAACACACUGUUGAUAGUUUCUUUUUAAACGUCAACAUAAUGCAUCUUCACAUAAUGCAUCUUCGUCUCUCUCAUAUUGUACAAAAGUAAAUAUAUAUAGAAACACAUCUUUUUUAUCAUGCGCUACAAAUUUGUUAUUUCAAUUUAAAUAUGUAAAGAACAAUUAUUUUUAUACAUCUCUUUUGAUGGUUAAAACUUAAUAAUUUUUGGUAUGAUCCAUUACAAAAAUGACUUGUUAGGGUAAUAUACAAGUAUGUGACAUUUCUCUUACAGCAAACAAUCGCUUUCCAAAAAAAACAAUGCUUCUUUUCUUCUUAUUGAAAAAAGCAAUUCAUUUUCUCAUUCUCCCACCGCAUGGCACAACGCUCACAUUGACAUCUCAUACCCCCCAUCUUGCUCUUGUCGUUGAUGUUGUUGGAAUAAAAACACACGGCGGUGUUCAGCCCGCACCUUCCUCUCAGCUAAACCCGUUCAUGGACAACCCGGUCCGGAGGCCCGAACCCGAAGCCCGACAUACGGGCCGCGCUCGGGCUCCACUUUCUUGCCCGAAGCCCGUCCCAAAAGCCCGAAAAAUACGUAUACACUUUUUAUUUGAAAUAUAGAUAAAAUAAAUUAAUAUAAUAUUUUGGAUAAAAUAAAUUUAUUUAAAAACACUGUUCAUGUACUUCUGGCCGGCCUGGGCUCAGGGUUGGAAUUUUUUUCGGACUUUAGAAGGGUCCAUCCUAAAUAAAACUAAUAGUCUUGCGGACGCCAUAACACUUCUAAUACUUGAACUUGAGAGACAAUUUGUUCAUAUGCAUCCUUGCAUACAAAGGAUUUUCCUUGAGUUCUCUAAUAUUCAGCUUGCUUUCGUUAAAGGUGUCGCCACUAUAUUUCUAGCCCACGAAUUUAGAUUCAUUAUGAAAGAGGCUAAUAAAUUUUUGCUCAUUAUAAAAUUAAUGGUUGAUGUCCCCCCAUUGAGGAGAUCCUUUUUAACCGAGAAGAAAUAAUGAGAUUGCAGUCCCCGGAUUGUGUGGCUUAUAAUGAAAUUUUGAAAAAAGGGUUCCUAUUGAGGUUUUGGUUGAUAGAAUUUCUGAACUCAAUGAUGAUUUUGCUAUACAAAAUAAUGGAUUAGAUUUCAUACUAAGAGAUAAACUUAUGACCUUUCGCCAAAGGAAAGCCUACAAUGAUGAAUUAAUCAUACACUAUAGAGGGCCGAAGGAGGAACCUAUUCCUCCCGCACUCGAUCUUAAUGAUCCUUAUCCUAUUAAAUUUAGACCUUUUGAUUACUUUUGGUUGCCACAAAGGAAACUUGCUACUGAAAGAAGGGAGUAUGAGAAGAGCAUCGAUAAUCUCCCUUACUAUUAUGAUAAUACCUAGAUCUAUUGGGUUAUGCCUGGCUAGGGAGUUAAAAAAUAGCGCUUAUUGGGAGGCAACCCAAUUUUAUUUAUUUUUAUUUUGUUUUUGUUUUUGUUUUUGUUUCCUGCACAUAUUAUUACUUAUGUAAUAAUUGUGUUUUCUUGUUUUAAUUUGUGUUUGAGCCAAGUAAAACCUUUGGGAUGGUCCACGGUGUUUGCAAGUUGAUUCUGGUGAAAAACAGAAACUUUUGCCCUCAGUCCAGGAAUUUUAUAAAUUCCCUAAAAACGUGCUUUUGAUCUAAAUGUUUUUACAAAAGAUUGGUUUACUAAUUUCCCAGAUUGUUUCAGAAUUUUUGGAGUUACGAAAGUUACAGAAUGUUUCAGAAUUUUUGGAGUUACAGAAGGAUUCGAAGUAAACAGAUUGCUAUAGAUUGUUCUGUUUUUUGACAUAUUCUGUUUUCUUUGUGUUGUUUUCUUAUUUUGAUGAAUCUAUGGGUUGUAUUGGGAGGUAUGAACCAUGGAGAAGUUGGAAUACAGUAAAUAUUACAUCAAUAUAAAUAAAGAAUGAGUUCACAAUAGUACCUAAAUGGGAAUUUAUUUUUCUUAGACUAACGGAUCUCAUGAGUUUUCUGUUGAGUUUUGUGUUGUGAAGUUUUCAAGUUUUGGGUAAAGAUUUGAUGUACUACGGAAUAAGGAGUGGCAAGAGCCUAAGCUUGGGGAUGCCCAAGGCACCCCCAAGCUAUAUUCAAGGAUACCAAAGAUCCUAAGCUUGGGUAUGCCCCGGAAGUCAUCCCCUCUUUCAUCUUCAAUCCAUCGGUAAAUUUACUUGAGGCUAUAUUUUUAUUCACCACAUGAUAUGUGUUUUGCUUGGAGCGUCUUGUAUGAUAUGAGUCUUUACUUUUUAGUUUGCCAUAUAACUAGUGGAUUAAAUCUUUUGCACAACCACUUAGUUUUCUUUUUGAGAUUUCAUACACUUAUAGCUCUAGUGCAUUUGUUGCAUGACAAUCCCUACUCACUCACAUUGAUAUCUAUUCGUUGACAUCUCCAUAGCCCGUCGAUAUGCCUAGUUGAUGUGAAACUAUCUUCUUCCUUUCUUUUUGCAACCUCCACCACAUUCUAUUCCACCUAUAGUGUUAUAUCCAUGGCUCACACUCAUGUAUUGCAUGAGAGUUGAAAGGCUUUGACAACAUAAAAAGUGUGAAACAAUUGCUUGAUUUUCAUUGGGGUUGUGCAUGAUUUAGAUACGUUGUGUGGUGAAGAUGGAGCAUAGCCAGACCAUAUGAUUUUGUUGGGAUAACUUUCUUAGACCAUGUUAUUUUGAAAGGAAGCAAUUGCCUUAUUAGUAUGCUUUAAAUAUUAUUGUUUUUAUGUCAAUAUUAGACUUUUAUUUUGAGUAUUAUGGAUCUGAAUAUUCAUGGCACAUUAGAGAAUAUUACAUGGAUAAAUAUGUUAGGUAGCAUUCCACAUCAAAAAUUCUGUUUUUAUCAUUUACCUACUCGGGGACUAGCAGGAAUUAAUCUUGGGGAUGCUGAUACGUCUCCAACGAUCUAUAAUUUUUGAUUAUUCCAUGCUAUUAUAUUAUAUGUUUUGGAUGUUUUAUAUGCAUUUAUAUGUUGUGUUAUAAUAUUUUUGGGACUAACCUAUUAAUCUAGAGCCUAGUGCCAGUUUCUGUUUUUUCCACGUUUUUGAAUAUUGCAGAUAAGGAAUAUUAAACGGAGUCCAAAUGGAAUAAAAUCUCCGGAAAUAUUUUUCUUGGACUAAAAGACACGCAACAGACUUGGAUUAGGGGGCAAGGCAGUUGCUGGGAGGCCACAAGCCUACAAGGCGUGCCCUGGGGGCUGGGAGGCCACAAGCCUGCAAGGCCGCGCCGCUUGGCUUGUGGGACCCCUACAAUUCUCCUAACCCUAAUUCUUGUCCUAUAAAUUCCCAAAUAUUCCUGUAUCGCCAAAAAGAGCCACGAAAAUACUUUUAUGCCGCCGAGAGCCUCUGUUUUCGAGAGAUCCAAUCUAGGAGCCUUUUCGGUAAUCUGCCGGAGAGGGGAUUGAUCAGGGAGGGCAUCUACAUCAAGUCCAUUGCCCCUCCGAUAAAGCGUGAGUAGUUCACCACAGACCUACGGGUCCAUAACUAGUAGCUAGACGACUUAUUCUCUCUCUUUGAUCUUCAAUACCAUGUUCUUCAUGAUCUUCAUGGAGAUCUAUCUGAUGUAAUACUCUUUUGUGGUGUGUUUGUCGAGAUCCGGUGAAUUGUGAGUUUAUGAUUCAGAUUAUCUAUGGACUUAUUUGAGUCUCUUCUGAAUUCUUACAUGCAUGAUUUCAUAUCUUUGCAAGUCUCUUCGAAUUAUUGGUUUGGUUUGGCUAACUAGAUUGGUAGUUCUUGCAAUGGGAGAAGUGCUUACUUUUGGGUUCAAUCUUGAGGUGUCCUCACCCAGUGACAGUAGGGGUAACGAGGCAUGUAUUGUAUUGUUGCCAUCAAGGGUAAAAAAGAUGGGGUUUUCAUUAUAUUGCUUGAGUUUAUCUCUCUACAUCAUGUCAUCUUACUUAAUGCGUUACUCUGGUCUUCAUGAACUUAAUACUCUACACGCAGGCAGGAGUUGGUUGAUGCGUGGAGUAAUAGUAGUAGAUGCAAAAUCGUUUCGGUCUACUUGAUACAGACGUGAUGCCUAUAUGCAUAAUCAUUGCCUUAGAUAUCUUCAUGAUUAUUCGCUUUUCUAUCAAUUUCUCGACAGUAAUUUGUCCACCCACCGUAUUAUUUUCCUUUAUGAGAGAAGCCUCUAGUGAAACCUAUGGCCCCGGGGUCUAUUUUCCAUAUCAUAUUUUUAGAUCUAUAAACCAAAAAUACCAAAAAUCCUUUGUUGUAAUUUAUUUACUUUAGUUUUACUUUCAGAUCUAUCAAUAUUUUAUAUCUAUCUCUAUCAGAUCUCAUCCUUGCAAAUAACUCUGAAGGGAUUGACAACCCCUUUAUAGCGUUGGGUACAAGUGUUUGAUAUUUGUGCACGUACUACUAUUGGAGCCUUGCUUGUUCCUCCUACUGGAAUGAUACCUUGGUUCUCAACAAACUGGGGAAAUACUUAUCUACUUUGCUGCAUCACCCUUUCCUCUUCAAGGGAAAACCAACACAAGCUCAAGAGGUAACAGGCCGCCAUGUGCUCGUCCUUGGGUUUGCACUUCUUGUUGGAGAAGUUGACGAGGAGCUUGUAUUCCCCCUUCACAAUGAGGCGCUUGACACCAAGAGCUGAGGCAGCCUUGAGGCCGAUGAAUAGGACUUCGUAGUCAGCAAUGUUGUUGGAAACCUUCAUGUUGUGCCUGAAGCACAACUGGACUACUUAAUAAAGCAUGUCUCCUUUCAAUGAAGUAAGCACCACGCCAGCCCCCGCGUCCUGCAUGGAGAAGGCGCCAUCAAAGCGCAUGACCCAGCUGCAAGGCGCUUCGUCCCCCGAUAGGGUGGAUUCGCCCUCGCGGGGCUCCUCUUCGCUUGGGCCCAUCCAAUCAAAGACGAAGUCCACCACGGACGCACCCUUGAUGACCCUAGUGGUGCAGAAUUCUAGCUCGAAGGCUUGCAACUCGAUGUUCCACUCGGCGACCCUGCCAACGGCGCUAGGGCUGCGCAGGAUCUACUCUAAGGGAUAUGUAGAGAUAACCUUGAUCGGGUGACCCUGGAAGUAGUGGUACAUCUUCCUGGAGGCGACGAGGAGCGCGAGGAGGAGCUUGUACUGCAUGGGAUAACGCUUGCGUGCAUCCCUUAGUAUUGUACUCACAUAGUACACGGGGUGCUCCACGUGCCUUGUGAUCGUGGUGUCGUCAUCGCACCCGUCGAGGGGCUCAUGAGGUGAAGCCACGGGGGCUUCCAAAGGCGCGGCGUCCCAGGUCUCGGAGCCUCCUACGGUGAGGCAGUCUCCCGAGGGAAGGCGUCCCUUGGGAGGAGGGUAGCCUCGUGAGAAUGGACGCCUCCUAGAGUGGGGCGGACUCUAGAGGGGGACUCGUGCUUAGCUCCGAUGGGGCCCGUGCAAGCCCCUGCAGCGCGAGCUGGGUGGCCUCCUGCUACUUCUUGGGGCGAGCAGGGCCUUCCUACUCCACCACGAGGGUCGUGCUCGACGUCUGAGGGGUUGGUGCCAGGUCAACAGCACGCGCUCGCGAGGUCGUGGUGCGACCAUGAUGGGGGGGCUCAUGAGGUCCCGUUUGAUGUCCGCGAAGGUCGUGUCCGCCUCAGGGGUCCCUGCAAAUGGGCCCAAACUUUUCAUCAGCUUGAAUAACGGCAAUGCCCGCUCGCUGAACUUGGAGAUGAAGCGCGUGAGGGAGGCUAGGCACCCCGCCACCUUCUGCAUUUCCUUGAGGGUUCGGGGAGGGCGCAUCUGCUCGAUGGACUUGACCUUCUCUACGUUUGCUUCUAUCCCUCGAUGCGACACAAGGAAGCCUAAGAUCUUGCCAGAGGGGACCCUGAAGACACACUUGUCGGGUUGAGCUUUAGGUUGACCUUUCACAAAUUGGUGAAAGUUUCCUCCACGUCCUCGAUGAGCGUCCUAGCCUCACGCGUCUUGGCCAUGAUUUCGUCAACAUAAGCCUCGGUGUUCAUCCCAAGCUGGGCCCUAGCGCAAUCUGCAUUAGCCGUUGGAAGGUGUCACCCACUCUCUUCAGGCCGAAGGUCAUGCUCACAUAGCAGAACAUCCCUCAAGGGGAGACGAAGGUUGUCUUUUCCACAUCUUUUCCCGCCAUCUUGAUCUUAUGGUGGCCCGAGAAGGCGUGCAAGAAGCACAGUAGAUCGCAGCAGGCGGUGGAGUCCAUGAUCUCGUCGAUGCAUGGGAGCGGGAAAGGGUCCACUGGACAGGCCUUGGUGAGGUUGGUGAAGUCAACACACAUCCGCUCCUUUCCGCCCUUCUUGGGGAUGAUGACAUGGUUAGCGAGCCACUCCAGGUAGCGCACCCCGCGGAUGACCCCGGCCUCCUGCAGCUUCUGGACUUCCUGCACGAUGAAGUGCUGCUUUUUCGGUGCUUGGUGUCGCACCUUCUGCUUGACAGGGCACGCGUUGGGGCACAACGCCACGUGAUGCUCGAUCAUGUGCCUCGGCACCCCGGUUAGGUCGGUCGCCUUCCACACGAACACAUCCGUGUUUUCCCUGAGGAAGGCGAUGGGCGCGAUCUCUUGCUCCGGAGGGAGGUCGACACCAAUGGUGAAGGUGGGACCUGAGCCGCUGUCAUUUAGCGGCACCUUCUUCAUCUUGGUCUGGUCUUCCGCGAACUACAAUUUCUUUCUCGUCGGGUCCACCUCAGGAGGCACCGCCUCGCCCCCGUCGGCCGCACACACAACUGUCGGGGCUUUGCGCAUUUGCUUGAGGCAGCUCACGGCGUCCCUCUCGUCGCAUCUGAUGGUCAGGACACCGCUGCUGCCGGGGAUCUUGAUGAUGUUGUAACCCGGAUGAGUCGCCGCUAUGAACCUCGCGAACGUAGGGUACCCCAGGAUGGCGUUGUACGGGAGGCCGACGUACGCCACAUCAAAGUCAACGAGCUCGGUGCGGUAGUUGGAGCGAGUGUCUAAGGUGACGGAGAGACGUAUCUGGCUGGAUGGGCCGCAGUCUCGUGGACCACCCUAGAGAACGAUGAGGUAGGCUUCAACUGGCCGUAAGGCACCUGGAGUGCCUUGAAAACCGCGACGGAGAAGAUGUUGAGCCCGGAGCCCCCGUCGAUGAAGGUCUUGGUGACGGCGACCCCGCCGAUGGUGGGGGUGCACACCAUGGGGAGAGCACCUGAGGCUACCAAAGACCCGAGGCGGUCCUCCGCACCGAAGGUGAUGCCGGUAGCGCCCUAGCAGGCCCGGGAGCGGCCCCUCGAAGCCCCAUGUUCUGUCACCCCUCGAGAGCCGCGCCCAUCCUGCGGAAGGUUGGCUUGGAGUGUCGGACAUCGCCCGGUGCCUGGGUUCUUCCCACGAUGCAUGCGACCUCGCACCAUCCCCGGCGCGCCGCGGUACCACCGUCAUCCAGGGGCGGGUGAAGCUGACGCAUGCCUGGGCCAAUGCCUCAGGAGAUGCGCUCUGUAUCUCCCGCAUGCAUUAGCAAGUGGCAAGGCGGUGGGGGAAGCGCCGUGGCCCCUCCGGGAACGGCGGUGAGCCUGACGCGCCGGCCCUGCCCGGCGACGGGCCCUGCGCACGCUAGUUGAGGACGGAGGAGCUCGCGUGCCCUGCGCAGUGAGGUGUGGGCGUUUGGCUCUCCGCGCUCGGCGCGAUGGAGGCGGGCCACAGCGCAACCGUUGUCCUGCUGCCUAGAAAGACGCGAAGGAACCUCCUGUCCCUGGGCGACGGGUCCAUCCAAGGCGGUGGUGCUGACGCACCGAGCGACCGCCUGCUCGGCGUGCGGAUGGUGGGCGCCCGCCAUGGAUUCGGUGAAGUCUUAGUCGAAACCGGAGUCGGAGAACGGCUGCGCACCCCUACCCGGCGUGCCAAAUGUCGAAAUCGAGGCUCUGCGGACCCCGGGAGAGGUUUGAACUCUACGGUGCACUUGCUCUCCAACCCUGUUCUACCUCUCAACUUCAUAGCGACUCUCCAGCGGCUCAACCUAAGGAAAGCUAACGGGAACACACGGCAGUUUACCCAGGUUCGAGCGACCUUGAAGUGUAAAACCUUACGCGUGCUUGUUUUGGAUUGCUUGAUGUGGAAUACGAGUGCAAAUGUGGGUUUUUGCCCUAGGGGAGAGGAUGACGCUCGGAUCCCUGCUACGGAGGCUGGGCCUCUCUUUUAUACCGACCUUGGUCGUCUUCCCCCGAAAACACAAUUGGCGAGAAGGGUUGCCACAACGACCAUUUUGAAAGGGGACAGGACUGCGGCCCGUCCUGACAAAGGUGGUCUUCGCCUGCAAAAGCCCUUCUCCAUGACUCGCUGGUGGGCUCGGGGGUGACCUUCGUCUCGCCGAGCCCCCAGCCUUGGUCCUCUUGCACCGAUCAGGAAACCUUUGGGAGAUGCUUCGGGGCCUGCCAGCUCGCCUCGCUUCCUUAGCACGAAAGCGGAAAGCUCUCCUUCCCAUGCCUGCUGGCACCGCUCCUGCGCUGCCUACGCAACUUGCGUCACCUACGUGGGGCGUUGACCGUGGGGCCCUGCCAGGCUGCCCUCGGUGAGUCUGCCUCGCGAGGGCCUCGGGGGUAGCCUCGGGGCGCAUCCUCGCAGAGAGAGCCCUUGAAUAGUCCUUGACGAUGACCCUCUUAUGCUUGCCUCGCGAGGGUCUUCCUCGUUUAGCCCGCCGAUGGGCCGCGCCGGGUAUGAACGGCCGUGCGGCGCCUGGGGCCAUAGGCCGACGGGCCUGGGUACCGCCGCUCCCAUGGACCCGACAGUUACAUCAUCAAAUAUAUAUCAUUUAUUGAAGUUGGCUCUUUUUUAAGAUGUAAAAAAACUUUUUUUCAUGAUGUAAAUAGUACAACACCGACCUUUAAUACUUUAAAUUUACAUCAUCUGUUGAAGAUGCUCUAAAUUUCUCUAUUUGUUCUGAGAUAUGAGUUUUAGAAAAUCACACAGGACUAAUAUCUUCAUUCGAAAUAGAUAGGAAAAAAAAUGUUGAUUCCUUUUUUGCUUUUUCUUUUUAGCAAAUCAUUUUUUUCAUUCUAAAAAUCUUGCCAUGCAUAUGUAUACACAUAGGCGACAUUAGUUAACCUGAUUGAAGAGGUUGUUAAUGCAUGCAUGGAUGUAUGGGCGCCCACAUGUUUUUGACGUGAUUCCAAAAAAUUCCGUUCUUGGUAGAUGUGGCAGUACGUACGAUCUGUACUUGCUGAUAACUUGUUUAGCUAGGCUAGCAUGAGCCAUGCAUGCAUGCAUGGAGCACGAGGCAUUAGAGUACUUGGGAAUGUACACAUAUGCAUGUGAAAACGUAUACGUGCUCAUCAGCCACGUCCGUCGAUCGUCCUCAUCCACGGAACCGGGGCGGGGUCGCAUGCAUGGCAUGUGAUCGAUCCGAAUUCUGAGCACAUUGUGUUAUGCGUCGACGUAGUAUGUACGAUGCGAUCGGAGAUCUUCUCGUUUCUUUUUCUGAGUGCACGUACUAUGAUGCGAGAUGCAGUUUUGAGAGUGGUGACCGUGUGCAUGUGUGUGGGGGCAAACUUUCGUGUUUUUGCUUUUUACGUAAGUCAGUCGGGGAAUUUUUUUGAAUCUGACCCUUUUGCUACCGCCGAAGGCUUUGACGGUAGCGUAUACAACUUACCGCCAAGUUCCCUGACGGUAGGGUUGCACACCUACCGUAAAAAGAUUUCUAGGUUGCAGAUCCAGUACGUGCGAGUAUGUACCGCCGGAUCCCUUGAUGGUAGAGUCACAUGCGCUACCGCCAGACUCUUUGACGGUAGUCUAUUUUCCUACGGUCACGGGCCUUGGCGGUAGGUUGUUAUACCCUGCCGCCAAGGUCUUCGGCGAUAGCAAAAGAGUUAGAUCCAAUUUUUUUUCCGAUCAGUAUUAAAUUCAGCUGGACUUAUGUAAAAAUGUCAAAACAAUGAAAUUUGCCGUGUGUGGGUUAACUUAGCAUGCACGUGGCAUGCAUGUAUGGAACGAUAGGUCAAUAUCUAGCUAAGCUACUCUUUCUUUUUUAGGGAGCUAGCUAAAAGCAUCUCUAAUAGACCCCGUAUAAUGCCCGAUCCAUAAAAUAAUCAUUAAAAAAAAGAUCGGGGUGGAAAAUGUUCACAGAUCAGAACAGGCAAACGCGUUUGACCCGUAAAAUUUUUUGAGGGGCGCGGGACCUGCGAAAGCACAUGUUUUCAUCUUGUUUAUACGAUGCCGUGUAUCGCAGGUAAACGGUUGGCGGGACGGACAUUUUAGUCCGCGCCCUUUCACCACCCUCACUAAUAGAAAAAUGGCAUUUUGUCCCGGUUCGUAAGGCCUUCUGUCCCGGUUUCUGAACCGGGACAAAAAGGUCGUUACUAAUGCCCUUGGCCUUUGGUCCCGGUUCUUACACGAAUCGGGACAGAUGGGCCUCCACGUGGCCGGUGCGGCGAGCCCAGGCAGGAGGCCCUUUGAUCCCGGUUGGUGACACCAACCGGGACCAAUAGGCAUCCACGCGUCAGCAUUUCAGGUGAUGGGGUUUUUGUUUUUUUUAAAGAGGAGGGGGGUUAGGGGGUUUUGGGGAGGGGGGGUUAAUUUAGGUGUUUCAUAUUUUGUGUUAGCUAGCUAAUUAAUAGAGAGAAGUGUCCUCUCUUAUAUCCGUGCUUGGUCGACGCUACAUACUAUAUGUAUAGAGAGGACUAGACACGCUAGCCAGUAAGAAAAUGAAGGAAACAGAAGAUCGUCAUGAACAUAUGCAUACAGAGAGAAGUGAUAUCGACCACCUCUCCUUCUCUGAGGGAUUGGUCGAAGAACAAGUUCUCGUAUAUCUAUCCGACGCUUCUGGCUACAUAUAUGCAAUAUAAUUAUCUCUUACAAUAUAAUCUCCUAAUUAAAAUUCAACUGAUUAGGGUUCACAUGAUAUUCUCCGUCUUUAGCGAUCACGUGGUCAAGAAAGAAUGCCGCCAAUUCCUCUUGAAUUCCUCGCAUACGGCCUUCUGGUAGGAGUUCAUUCCGCAUCCAAAAUAUCUAAUUUGAAGAAGGGGGUCAAUACAUAUAUAUGAAUAAAUGAAACUGAACACAAAUGAUGGUAAUAAAAUAAAAUUGUGAAUAUUAUUAUUUACGCACAUCAUAUUGUUUGUCAGAGUAGCCCCGCUCACAGGUCGUGUGGCGGAUGAACUCGCAAACGUAGUAUCCACAGUAAUCAAUCCCUGGUUCCUGCCACAACCACUUUACAAGAAAUAGAAGUCAAUCAAACCGAUAGUUAGCAAGCAUGCUAAAUGGUAUUGAUGAAACUAGCGCUUGAAUCACUAGGAGAUGCGUGGAACAUGCUACUAUAGUACUUACUUUCGGGUGUCUGAAUUGCAGCUUCUUCGGAAGUCCCGGAGUUUUUGAGGUGAAUUUUUUCCAAACGCUGCAGAAAACAAUUACUUGAUAUCAGGAAGUGAACAAAGUUGCCGAUAUGGUGUGAUAAUGAUCGAUUUAACUUCUGUAGAAUUUCAGUCAUGUCCGCAUAAUCGUUGGGAUCUUUUCGUCUCGAGUCUAAGACAGUUACUAGUCCCUGCUCAAGCUUAAUCUCUAGGAGAAUAUAGUGGAAGCUGCGCACGCAUGCAUAACUCAUCAAUUACAUUACUAUAACCUUGACUAAUAAGGGAAAGCGAAUAUGCACAAGACAGUAAUACUCACUGGAAUUCGUAAGGGAAGAGUAUUAUAGCUUUGUUUUGAUUCAAUACAAACGAUUAUAGCAGGUUGGCCUCGGUAUCUUUGGCCUGAAAUUCAAUCAUAAAUGCAUCUACGAGAUUUGUGUUAAUGAACCCAAUAUCACCGAUUUGUCUUUUCUUCAAUUCUACGAUCUUCAAUCUGCAAAUAAUAUAAUAAGGAUAAUUAAAAAUACAUGCAAUGAAAGAGCUAACCUAUAUAUAGAGACUUAAUGGCAGAAGUAGUACUACUUACAGGCAGUAGCAAGUGAUUAUUAAUUUAUCGAGGGCCAGGAGAUUGAAAAACGGGAAGAACUCCUCAAAUGGAACAUUCAACAGUUCAAGUCCAACGAGGUCAUGCUUCUCUCUAACUCUCAGCGUCAAAAUAUUACUCCCCUCAGACUCUUUGCAGGUUUUCAUGUACCAAUCAUGGAAUCUUCGCAUCAUCGUUGUUAGAGAUCUUUCAUCUUUGACGAGAGGCUUCCCGUACACAUAUUUGUGUUCGUCCACCUCCAAUAAAUCAAAAUAUGCAUCGUCGGGCAGGUAAUCUGCAAGAUUGGUACCGGGCAACAAGAUCCCUAGAUGAUUAGCGACGAUAUCGCUAGACACCUUGAGCGGGGGGGGGGGGNGGGGGGGGCGGGGGGACGAUUGGUUCGCUUGUUCGCCGAGCUGGGCAACUUUUUUCCCGGCUCGUUGUUCUGCUAACCUUUGACCACUGAUAGUACUUCCCGACCACUCCGCUUCGAUAAAUGACUUUGUAAUAAUGUGCUCAUAGUUUCCUUUCGCUGGAGACUUGACUGGUUUCUCCAGGGCAGCCAGAGUACGCUUCGGUUUUACCGGAUCUAUGUUCUCCUCCGGAGGUGGAUGAUUCUUUGCUUUCACCCCUUCAAAGUAGUUUUUAACUUUGGCUUGCACGAUCUUCGCGUUUUUCUCCUGGCUCCUCUCGUAUGGUAACUUCUCUGGAGUCUUCAGAGAAGGACCAUAUUUGUAUUGCCUGCCUCUAGCUGUACUGCUAGACGCCGGAUCAGACGGAGCGAUUGCAGCUGUCUUUCCUUUCUUACGAGGCGGAGUAGAAGGACGACGCGCCGGAGCAAUCGGAGCGGCGGCGGGUCUUUUCCGCCCUUGUUGACGAAGCGGNNNNNNNNNNNNNNNNNNNNNNNNNNNNNNNNNNNNNNNNNNNNNNNNNNNNNNNNNNNNNNNNNNNNNNNNNNNNNNNNNNNNNNNNNNNNNNNNNNNNNNNNNNNNNNNNNNNNNNNNNNNNNNNNNNNNNNNNNNNNNNNNNNNNNNNNNNNNNNNNNNNNNNNNNNNNNNNNNNNNNNNNNNNNNNNNNNNNNNNNNNNNNNNAUCACUCGCCGGAGGAGGAGGCGGAGGAGGAGGCGGAGGAGGAGAAGGAGACUAAGUGCCCUAAUCACUCGCCGGAGGAGGAGGCAGAGGAGGAGAAAGAGAUUGAGUGCCCUGGUCACUCGCUGGAGGAGGAGGCGGAGUGCCCUGACUCGCCGGAGGAGGACGAGGAGACGGAGGCGUCCAGUUCGGAAGGUUGAUGAGCUCCUUCCGCCAUAAGCAUGAAGUCUUCAGAGAAGAACCCACCCGAAUCUCCCCUUCACCCGUAGGGUGGUCAAGCUGAAGGUCCUCAAAUCCGUCCAUUAUUUGAUCCACCAUCACCCUAGCAUAUCCUUCUGGAAUCGAUCGGCCAUGGUAGGUUGGGCCAGGUUCAGUAGGUAAAACAACUCCAACAACCGCCUUUACUUUUAAUGUCAUCCAUCGCGCCAUAAGGUGGCAAUGUUGAGACUCCGUGAUAGCAUCCACGGGGUAGCUAGCAGGAGCCGUGAAGACAUGCUCCAGCUGCUGAGUCUGCUCGGUGGAAGCCACGCUGCUUCUCCGCUGAGAUGGUGGGGUAGCUUCAAGGGAAGCUUCGGCAGGUUGUUUGCUGCGAUCUGCUUCUUGUUCCUCUAGCCCUUGUGCCCUUUCGUGCAGCGGCUGCAGUUCUCUAUGAUCCACUUUCUUCCUCCUCUCCUGGCAUUUGUAACCCCCUGCGUCCAGAAACCCAACCUUCCACAGAAAGGAGCCUCGUGUGCCUGUAUCCGUCCAGGGUGCUCAGGAUUCCUGAGGGACAUUGUGAGCUCGUCCUUCUCUCUGUCUGGAAUGAACGUCCCUUGCUACGCUUUCUUGAUAUACUCCUUAAGCCUCGUGACGGGUAUUCGCAGUUGCUCUUCCGUCCAAACGCAGUUCCCUGAUACAGGGUCCAAGGUUCUGCCAACCCCGAAGAACCAAGUCCGGGAACGGUCUGACCAGUUCAAUGUCUCUGGUUCGACCCCUUUAGCAAUCAGGUCAUUCUCAGCCUUGUCCCACAAAGGUCGGGCUUUGAGGUAGCCACCUGACCCCGUGCAAUGGUGAUGCUUCUUCUUCGCAGCAUUUUCCUUGUUUGUCGUUGACAUCUUCUUACUCUUUUCCAAUGUCUUGUGGGCCACAAAUGCGGGCCAGUGAUCUCUGAUCUUCUCAAACCGGCCAGUGAAUUCUGGUGUAAUUUCUUUGUGGACAAACGUUUUCAACUCAUUCUUCCACCUCCUGAAUAGUUCUGCCAUCUUCUUAAGAGCAUGAGACUUGAUCAAUUGCUCUAUAACUAGAUUCUCCAGAUCCUCCUCUGGCGUAGGGUGAAAUUUGCCUUAAGCGUUGUCCAAAGAUCUUCUUUCUGCAUAUCGGAGACAUAAGACACCUCACGGUCUUCCUUCUUAGGCUUUAACCGUUGCUGGAUACUGAUGGGGAUCUUGUCCCUAACAAGAAGCCCGCACUGAUUAGCAAAUGCUUCCUUUCUCCGGUACGGUUCAAUCGGCUUGCCAUCACGCGCGAUUGCUGUGAUCUCAAACCUUUCAUCCGAGUGCAACUUUUCUUCGGGCCUCGUCUCUUUACCGAAGUUGUGCUCGAUCCGGAAAGCUAGAAAAAGAAGAAAGACGAGAGUUAAUUAAUAUGUGUACAUACGAAAACAAUGAAUGCAUCAAUUAGCUAGUCAGCACAGGCUUAACUAAUAUAUAUACCUGGCCGGACUCGGUUCGGUCACCGGAGUCAUCAUAAUCAUAGCCUUCUUCUUGUACCGGCAUUAAUGGGUCACCGAAGCCAUCAUAAUCAUAGCCUUCUACUUCACUCUAUCCUUCCAGACCAUCGGUGUCGUUGAGAAACGACAAGACGACAUCCCUUCCUUUUGCGAUUAUUUCCCCCAAAAUCUCUUAUGUUGCUUCGUCUCGGGGGUGCUCCAUAGUUUCUACAAAUAUUUACAACAUGGAAAUUAUUAUUCAAACAUGACAGAUGGAUAUAUUAGUGGCAAACAUAGAAUUAGCUAGCUAAUCACAAUAAGGAAUCAUAUUAGUUGCCUCGAUGCUGCUUCUCUAGGGUUUGGGGUGGCCUCGGCAACGCUUCAAGGGUUUGAGGUGGCCUCGACAAUGCUUCAAGGGUUUGGGUGGCCUCGACGACAACGCUCUUUUAACUUGGUAAAUUUGGGUGGCCUCGAGAGAGUUUGUAGGGUAGGGGCGCGGCGGGAGGGGGUAGGAGACCAACAUCGUUUUUUCUAGGGUUUGGGUGUCCUCGAGAGUUUUGGUCGAGCGAGAGGGCCGGGGCGGGGGAGGGGGUGCUCCCGUGGUAUAAGUUAUCACGGUCGAGAGGGGGUAUAUAUAUCGACCGCCCCUCAUGUCGAAGUUAUCCGGGAGGGGGUCGAUAAUUAAAGCGGAGUUUCCGCUCUCCCACUAUGUGAAUCUCCAAUCACGUUUGCUCCAAUAUCAAAACUAAACCAUUUAAAAGCAAUCGUGUGGGAUCUAUGAAAAAUUAAACCAGUUAAAACUAAGAAAUUACACUCAUGAAUAACUUAAUAGCAAAAUCAUAAAAUGCAAAAAUCAUGAGUUGUUUGUCUUUAAUGACCUUGACAUAUGACAGGAAAGGCACUAGGGAAUAUACUUGAUUUAGUGGGAAAAUAAACAUAUACUCUAGGGAAUAAAUUUGAUUGAGUAGAAAAAUAAUCAAAGAUGUCGUAAAUUAGCAUAUCAACAUAUGCAUAUGUAGAAGCGGCAUUGCCGAGAAGCCGAGAAACAGACACAGUUUAUAAAAGAGAACAUGGGUAGAAAACUGUCCUCUCGUGGCAUGGUACCUUGAAUAUCGUUUCUUUUGUAGACAUCCUCAAAAUUAUUAUAUACCAAAAAAAUUGUAUUGGCUUGAACACAGAAGUGACCAUGAGCAGUCAACACAGAAGCUAGUGACCAUGAACGGUGACAAAUGUUCAUAUUUCCGCCGAAUACAUGUCUAACAAACCCCCAAGUGCAUAAUCAGAUUUAAUUAUGCAAAAACAUAAAACAAACAAAUUUGGCGGCAGAGGAGGGCCUCACAGUAGACGUCGGCGGGUUUGUCCACCACGACGAGCCACUCGUCCUCGAACACGACGGCGGCGGAGGAGUAGGCACCAGAGGCGAAGAAGAAGAUAGGGGCAGGGGCGACGGGGCGGGUCGGGGGUGCGCGGCGUCGGUGUAGAGGACGGUGGCGUGGUUGGUGUAGUGGACGACGGCGUGGUCGGGGCGACGCCGGCGACGACCGCGUCGAUGGGGCGGAGGGACGACAGCGUCGACGGGGCAGGGGCAGCGUCGAGGCGGCAGGGGCGGCGUCGGCGUCGGGAUCGAAUGGAGAGAGGGGGGAGAUCAAAAUUUCUAAACUUCCGCUUAUAUAGCCCCACCUUUAGUCCCAGUUGGUGGCACCAACCGCGACUAAUGUGGGGCAUUGGUCUCGGUUGGUGUCACCAACCGGGACUAAAGGUCACUUUUCAGCAGCCCGAAGGGCGGGAAGCAUAGGCCUUUGGUCCCGGUUGGUGGCACCAACGGAGACUAAAGGGGGCCUUUGGUCCCGGUUGGUAGCACCAACCGGUACCAAUGCCCCCCUUUAGUCCCGGUUGGUGCCACCAACCGGGACCAAAGGCCUUGCGCGGUGCGGUGCUAUGUUUAGUCCCACCUCGCUAGCCGAGAGGGGCUCGCAGUGGUUUAUAAGCCCUGCCGAACCAACCACUUCGAGCUCCUCUCUACUGCAGGCUUACGGGCCUAAAAUCAUUUUGUGUGCUUGUGGGCCUGUUGGGCCUACUACGGGCGUGCAUCCUCGCCCUAGUAAUGGGUUUCUAGUCGUAUGCACGCCGUGGUGGCCCUGUAGGUGGCACUUUUUUUAAAAAAUAAUCCAGUUUUUUGAUUUCUUUUUUGUUUCUAAUUACUUAUUUAUUUUCUUUUAUGAUAAUUCUUUUUGCUAUUAAAGUUUGUAACAAAAUUUGAAUUACUUAUUUAUUUUGUUUUAUGAUAAUUCUUUUUUGCUUUUAAUGUUUUGAACAGAAAAUACUUUGAUAAUUUUAGUUGCAUAAAUUCUAUAUAAUUUUAGUAUCAAGUUGGCAUGGUAUCAUCAUUUCACCCACAUAGCAUGUGCGAGAAAGUAGAGAGGGUUACGACGAAAACUGGAUACACUCCGUGUACAAAACGGACAAUCUCUUUUGAAGUAUCAGGGUUUCAUACGUAAACUCGUCUGUUACAAAGGGAUUUCAUUUUUUUGAACUUAUUUGAACUCCAUAGUUUUUUCUGUGUUCAGAAUGCACCAUUCAAAGCCACAUCAUCAAUUUACAGCCCUUUCUGACUUCAUUUGUUAUUUUUCAUGCAUUUACUCAUUAUUUUGAGCUAUAAGACCAUGAAAUUGAAAUGAACUCUGAAAAGGUUCCAAGUUGGCAUGGUAUCAUCAUUUCAACCACAUAGCAUGUGCGAGAAAGUUGAGAGGGUUACGGCAAAAACUGGAUGCACUUCGUGUACAAAACGGACAAUCUCUUUCAAAGUAUCACGGUUUCAUACGGAAACUCGUAUGUUACAAAGGGAUUUCAUUUUUUUGAUAUUAUUGGAACUCCAUAGUUUUUCUGUGUUCAAAAUGCACCAUUCAAAGCCACAUCAUCAAUUUACAACCUUUUCUGACUUCAUUUGUUAUUUUUCAUGCAUUUACUGAUUAUUUUCAGCUAUAAGACCAUGAAAUUGAAAAGCAUUUGAAAUAAACUCUAAAAAGGUUCCAAGUUGGCAUGGUAUCAUCAUUUCACCCACAUAGCAUGUGCGAGAAAGUUGAGAGGGUUACUGCAAAAACUGGAUGCAUUUUGUGUACAAAACGGACAAUAUCUUUCGAAGUAUUAGGGUUUCAUACGGAAACUCGUCUGUUACAAAGGGAUUUCAUUUUUUUGAACUUAUUUGAACUCCAUAGUUUUUCUGUGUUCAAAAUGCACCAUUCAAAGCAACAUCAUCAAUUUACAACCCUUUGUGACUUCAUUUGUUAUUUUUCAUGCAUUUGCUGAUUAUUUUGAGCUAUAAGACCAUGAAAUUGAAAAGCAUUUGAAAUGAACUCUAAAAAGGUUCCAAGUUUGCAUGGUACCAUCAUUUCACCCACAUAGCAUGUGCGAGAAAUUUGAGAGGGUUACGGCAAAAACUGGAUGCACUUCGUGUACAAAACGGACAAUCUCUUUCGAAGUAUCACGGUUUCAUACGAAAACUCGUGUGUUACAAAGGGAUUUCAUUUUUUUGAACUUAUUUAAACUCCAUAGUUUUUCUGUGUUCAAAAUGCUCCAUUCAAAGCGAGAUCAGCAAUUUACAACCCUUUCUGACUUCAUUUGUUAUUUUUCAUGCAUUUACUGAUUAUUUUGAGCUAUAAGACCAUGAAAUUGAAAAGCAUUUNNNNNNNNNNNNNNNNNNNNNNNNNNNNNNNNNNNNNNNNNNNNNNNNNNNNNNNNNNNNNNNNNNNNNNNNNNNNNNNNNNNNNNNNNNNNNNNNNNNNNNNNNNNNNNNNNNNNNNNNNNNNNNNNNNNNNNNNNNNNNNNNNNNNUUCCAAGUUGGCAUGGUACCAUCAUUUCACCCACAUAGCAUGUGCGAGAAAGUUGAGAGGGUUACGACAAAAACUGGAUGCACUUCGUGUACAAAACGGACAAUCUCUUUCGAAGUAUGAGGGUUUCAUACGGAAACUCGUCUGUUACAAAGGGAUUUCAUUUUUUUGAACUUAUUUGAACUCCAUAGUUUUUCUGUGUUCAAAUUGCACCAUUCAAAGCCACAUCAUCAAUUUACAACGCGUUCUGACUUCAUUUGUUAUUUUUCAUGCAUCUACUGAUUAUGUUGAGCUAUAAGACCAUGAAAUUGAAAAGCAUUUGAAAUGAACUCUGAAAAGGUUCCAAGUUGGCAUGGUAUCAUCAUUUCAGCCACAUAGCAUGUGCAAGAAAGUUGAGAGGGUUACGGCAAAAACUGUAGGCAGUUCGUGUACAAAACGGACAAUCUCUUUCGAAGUGCGAGGGUUUCAUACGGAAACUCGUCUCUUACAAAGGGAUUUCAUUUUUUUGAACUUAUUUGAAGUCCAUAAUUUUUUGUGUUCAAAAUGCACCAUUCAAAGCCACAUCAUCAAUUUACAACCCUUUCUGACUUCAUUUGUUAUUUUUCAUGCAUUUACUGAUUAUUUUGAGCUAUAAGACCAUGAAAUUGAAAAGCAUUUCAAAUGAACUCUGAAAAGGUUCCAAGUUGGCAGUGGUGACAAUUUUAACACAACACAUGAUAUCCAUUACAUCUAGGGCACAACAUUACAUUUGCUCAAGUUCACAACAGUGCACAAAUGAUAGAAUUACAUCUAGGGCACAACACACUAGACGAAAUAGAAACUAAACUAGCCACAAUGUUGAUGCCAAGAACAAAGAGAAAACCCAUUGUUUCCAUGAGCUCAUUCCUUUUCUUCAACUUCAAUUGCAUUUUCUUGUUUUCAUUUUUCUGAUCCAUAACCUUCUUCUCCAUCCUACUAGCUUUGAUCCAACUACGUUCAAGGCCACCAUGGAGCUCCUAAAAAGCUUGCCCCACUAGCUCAGUGGGAGGGGGGGUCAAUCCAAACAACCCAAUCACACUCAUCAGGAAGUUGUUAGAUCAGAGUUCACAUAAUUAGGUGAAAUUCAUAACUUUGCAAUAAAUCGAUGAAAACAAAGUACUGAUACGUCCAUUUGCAUCAUGCUUUCAUGUUGAUAUUUAUUGCUUUUUGGGCUGUUAUUUCACUUCACGGUACAAUACUUAUGCCUUUUCUCUCUUAUUUUGCAAGGUUUACAUGAAGAGGGAGAAUACCGGCAGCUGGAAUUCUGGCCUAAAAAAGGAGCAAGUUUGAGAUGCCUAUUCUGCGCAACUCCAAAGGCCGUGAAAAUCCAUGUGGAUUUUUUGGGAAUAUAUAAAAAAAUACUGGGCAGAAAAUGUACCACAGGGGCGCCACCUGGACGCCACAAGCCUGCCAGGCCCGACCUACCCCCCUGGCCAGGGCUGGAGGGCUUGUGGGCCCCAUGUUGCCCCUCGGGCGCUCAUCUUUGGCUAUAUGAAGGGUUUCGUCCGGAAAAAAUCAGAAGGGAGCUUUUUCGUGGAUUCGCCGCCGCCACGAGGCGGAACUUGAGCAGAACCAAUCUAGAGCUCCGGCAGGACGAUCCUGCCGGGGAAACUCAUCACCAUCAACAUCUUCAUCAGCACCAUCUCAUCUCCAAACCCUAGUUCAUCACUUGUAACCAAUCUCCAUCUCACGACUCCUAUUGGUACUGGUAAGGUUGCUAGUAGUGUUAAUUACUCCUUGUAGUUGAUGCUAGUUNNNNNNNNNNNNNNNNNNNNNNNNNNNNNNNNNNNNNNNNNNNNNNNNNNNNNNNNNNNNNNNNNNNNNNNNNNNNNNNNNNNNNNNNNNNNNNNNNNNNNNNNNNNNNNNNNNNNNNNNNNNNNNNNNNNNNNNNNNNNNNNNNNNNNNNNNNNNNNNNNNNNNNNNNNNNNNNNNNNNNNNNNNNNNNNNNNNNNNNNNNNNNNNNNNNNNNNNNNNNNNNNNNNNNNNNNNNNNNNNNNNNNNNNNNNNNNNNNNNNNNNNNNNNNNNNNNNNNNNNNNNNNNNNNNNNNNNNNNNNNNNNNNNNNNNNNNNNNNNNNNNNNNNNNNNNNNNNNNNNNNNNNNNNNNNNNNNNNNNNNNNNNNNNNNNNNNNNNNNNNNNNNNNNNNNNNNNNNNNNNNNUUAAACCCUAGUUUAUGCAUUGCUUCGUAAGGGGCUGAUUUGGAUCCACUAGUUUAAUGCUAUGGUUAGACUUUGUCUUAAUUCUUCUUUCUUAGCUGUGGAUGCUUGCGUGAGGGGUUAAUCAUAAGUGGGAUGCUUGUCCAAGUAAGGGCAGUACCCAAGCGCCGGUCCACCCAUAUAUCAAACUAUCAAAGCAACGAACGUGAAUCAUAUGAACAUGAUGAAAACUAGCAUGACAGAAAUUCCCGUGUGUCCUCGGGAGCGUUUUUCCUCCUAUAAGACUUUGUCCAAGCUUGUCCCUUGCUACAAAAGGGAUUGGGACACCUUGCUGGACCGUUGCUACUUUCGUUACUUGUUGCUUGGUACAAAUCAUCUCACCAUACAAUCACUUGUUACCGAUAAUUUCAGUGCUUGCAGAUAUUACCUUGCUGAAAACCACUUGUCAGAUCCUUCUGCUCCUCGUUGGGUUCGACACUCUUACUUAUCAAAAGGACUAUGGUUGAUCCCCUAUACUUGUGGAUCAUCAAGACUCUUUUUUGGCACCGUUGCCGGGGAGUGAAGCGCCUUUGGUAAGUGGAACUUGGUAAGGAAACAUUCAUAUAGUGUGCUGAAAUUCAUUGUCACUUGUCACUAUGGAUACUAAUCCUUUGAGGGGCUUGUUCGAGGUAUCUUCACCUCGAACGGAAGCAAAAAUAGUUGCUCCUCAACCUACUGCACCUACUGAAAAUAUUUGCUUUGAAUUUCCUUCGGGUAUGCUUGAGAAACUGCUGGCUAAUCCUUUUACAGGAGAUGGAACAUCACAUCCAGACUUGCAUCUAAUCUAUGUAGAUGAAGUUUGUGGUUUAUUUAAGCUUGCAUGUUUGCCCGAGGAUGAGGUCAAGAAGAAGGUAUUUCCUUUAUCUUUGAAGGAUAAGGCUUUGACAUGGUAUAGGCUAUGUGAUGAUACUGGAUCAUGGGACUACAAUCGGUUGAAAUUGGAAUUUCAUCAAAAGUUUUAUCCUAUGCAUUUAGUACAUCAUGAUCGGGAUUAUAUUUAUAAUUUUUGGCCUCGUGACAGAGAAAUCAUCGCUCAAGCUUGGGGGAGGCUUAAAUCAUUGUUAUAUUCAUGCCCCAACCAUGAGCUCUCGAGAGAAAUUAUCAUUCAGAACUUCUAUGCUCGGCUUUCUCAUGAUGAUCGCACCAUGCUUGAUACUUCUUGUACCGGUUCAUUUAUGAAGAGAGAUAUUGACUUUAAAUGGAAUUUAUUUGAGAGAAUUAAAUGUAUCUCUGAAGAUUGGGAGCUUGAAGAAGGUAAGGAGUCAGGUAUGAAUUUCUAGUUUGAUUGCGUUAAAUCCUUUGUUGAAACAAAUGCUUUUUGUGACUUUAGCGCUAAGUAUGGACUUGACUCUGAGAUAGUAGCUUCAUUGUGUGAAUCAUUUGCUGCUCAUGUUGAUCUCCCUAAAGAGAAGUGGUUUAAAUAUCCUCCUCCUUUAGAAGUCAUUGUAGUUAAUCCCAAUCCAGUUGAAGAGAGAGUCAUUGCCUAUAAUGAUCAUGUUGUUCCGAGUGCUUACAUUGAGAAACCACCUUUCCCUGUUAGGAUAAAGGAUCAUUCUAAAGCUUCAACUGUGAUACAUAGAUGCUACAUUAGAACACCUACACCCCCUGAGCAAAUUAGAGUUGAACCUAGCAUUGCUAUUGUCAAAGAUCUUUUGUCCGACGAUGUUGAGGGACAUAAUAUUCACUUCUGUGAAGAUGCUUCUAGAAUUGCUAAACCUCACGCUAGAGACAAACAUAGGCCUCUUGUUGGCACGCCUGUUGUUUCUGUUAAGAUAGAAGAUCAUUGCUAUCAUGGUUUAUGUGACGUGGAUGCUAGUGUUAGUGCAAUACCUCAAUCCUUAUAUGAUGAAAUCAAAGAGGAGAUUGCGCCUAUUGAGAUAGAACCUAUUGAUGUCACUAUUUAGCUUGCCAAUAGAGAUACUAUCUGCCCUAUGUGAAUUGUUAAGGAUGUUGAAGUCUUGUGUGGUAAAAUGAAGUAUCCUGCUGAUUUCUUCGUUCUUGCUACCACCCAAGAUAGCUUUUGUCCCAUCAUAUUUGGCAGACCUUUUCUCAAUACCGUCAAUGCUCAUAUUGAUUUUGAGAAGCAAACCGUCACUAUUGGCUUUGAAGGUGUGUCACAUGAGUUCAAUUUCCCCAAGUUUGGUAGACAACCUCAUGAAAAAGAGUUGCCUAGUAAGGAUGAAACUAUUGCCUUAGCUUCUAUUGCCGUGCCUCCUACUGAUCCCUUAGAGCAAUACUUGCUUGAGCAUGAAAAUGAUAUGCAUAUGGAUAAAAGGGAUGAGAUAGAUAGAGUUGUCUUAGAACAAUAUCCUAUCCUUAAGAAUAAUCUGCCUCUUGAACUGCUUGAGGAUCCGCCCCCACCAAAGGGUGAUCCUGUAUUCGAGCUUAAACAGUGCCUGAUACACUUAAGUAUGCUUAUCUUGAUGAAAAAGAGAUAUAUCCUGUUAUUAUUAGUGCUAGCCUCUCAGAGCAUUAAUAAAAGAAGUUACUAAAAACUCUGAGGAAGCACCGUGCUGCUAUUGGAUAUACUCUUGAUGAUCUUAAGGGAAUUAGUCCCACUCUAUGCCAGAGCAAAAUCAAAACUGAUCCUGAUUCCAAACCAGUUGCUGAUCAUCAAAGGAGAUUAAAUCCUAAGAUGAAAGAAGUAGUGAGAAAAGAAAUACUAAAGCUUCUAGAAGCGGGUUUUAUCUAUCCUGUUGCUCAUAGCGAUUGGGUGAGUCCGGUGCAUUGCGUUCCUAAGAAGGGAGGCAUUACCGUUGUCCCUAAUGAUAAGGAUGAAUUGAUCCCACACAGGAUUAUUACUGGCUAUAGGAUGGUGAUCGAUUUUAGGAAAUUGAAUAAGGCCACUAGAAAACAUCAUUACCCUUUCCCUUUUAUUGACCAAAUGCUAGAAAGACUGUCUAAACACACACACUUCUGCUUUCUAGACGGUUAUUCUGGUUUCUCCCAAAUACCAGUUGCACAAUCUGAUCAGGAGAAAACCACUUUCACCUGCCCUUUCGGUACCUUUGCUUAUAGACGUAUGCCUUUUGGCUUGUGUAAUGCACCUGCCACCUUUCAAAGAUGUAUGAUGGCUAUAUUCUCUGACUUUUGUCAAAAGAUUGUUGAGGUUUUCAUGGAUGAAUUUUCCGUUUAUGGGUCUUCUUUUGAUGAUUUCCUCAGCAACCUUGAUCGAGUCUUGCAGAGAUGUAAAUACACCAAUCUUGUCUUGAAUUCGGAGAAGUGCCACUUUAUGGUUAAUGAAGGCAUCAUCUUAGGACAUAAAUUUUUUGAAAGAGGUAUUGAAGUCGAUAAGGCUAAGGUUGAUGCAAUCAAGAAAAUGCCAUACCCCACAGAUAUCAAAGGUAUAAGAAGUUUCCUUGGUCAUGUUGGUUUCUAUAGAAGGUUCAUUAAAGACUUCUCUAAGAUUUCUAGGCCUCCUACCAAUCUCCUACAAAAGGAUAUUCCUUUUGUUUUUGAUGAUGAUUGUGAGGAAGCCUUCGAAAUACUUAAGAGGGCUUUGAUAACUGCACCUAUUGGUCAACCACCUGAUUGGAACUUACCCUUUGAAAUCAUGUGUGAUGCUAGUGAUUACGUUGUUGGUGCUGUUCUAGGGCAAAGAGUUGAUAAGAAGUUGAAUGUUUUUCACUACGCUAGUAAAAUUGUAGACAAUGCCCAAAGAAACUAUGCUACUACGGAAAAGGAAUUUUUAGCAGUCGUGUUUGCAUGUGAAAAGUUCAGGUCUUACAUAGUUGAUUCCAAAGUCACUAUUCACACUGAUCAUGCUGCUAUUAAGUACCUCAUGGAGAAGAAGGACGCUAAACCUAGACUUAUCAGAUGGGUUCUCUUGCUACAAGAAUUUGAUUUGCACGUUGUGGACAGGAAGGGUGCUGAUAACCCUGUAGCACAUAACUUUCUAGGUUGGAGAACGUUCUUGAUGACCCACAACCUAUUGAUGAUAGCUUUCCCGGUGAGCAACUGAGUGUCAUCAAUGCUUCACGUAGUGCACCGUGGUAUGCUGAUUAUGCAAACUAUAUCGUUGCCAAAUAUAUACCACCUAGUUUCACAUAUCAGCAAAAGAAGAUAUUCUUCUUUGACUUGAGACAUUAGUUUUGGGAUGAUCCUCGCCUUUAUAAGGAAGGAGUAGAUGGUGUCAUUAGACGUUGUGUACCUGAACAUGAACAUGGACAGAUUGUACAGAAGUGUCACUCCGAGGCCUACGGAGGACACCAUGCGGGAGAUAGAACUGCACACAAGGUAUUGCAAUCAGGUUUCUAUUGGCUCACUCUCUUCAAGGAUGCCCGUAAGUUUGUCUUGUCUUGUGACGAAUGUCAAAGAAUAAGUAAUAUUAGUAAAUAUCAGGAAAUGCCUAUGAACUAUUCACUUGUCAUUGAACCAUUUGAUGUCUGGGGCUUUGAUUAUAUGGGACCUUUUCCAAAAUCGAACGGGUAUACUCAUAUCCUAGUUGCUGUUGAUUAUGUCACUAAGUGGGUAGAAGCUAUCCCCACUAGUAGUGCUGAUCACAACACCUCUAUCAAGAUGCUUAAGGAAGUUAUCUUCCCUAGAUUUGGAGUCCCUAGAUAUCUAAUGACCGACGGUGGUUCACAUUUCAUUCAUGGUGCUUCCCGUAAAACGCUUGCUAAGUAUGAUGUCAACCAUAGAAUUGUGUCUCCCUAUCACCCUCAAUCCAGUGGUCAAGUAGAGAUAAGCAAUAGAGAGAUUAAACUGAUUCUGCAAAAGACUGUCAACAGGUCUAGAAAGAAUUGGUCUAAGAAGCUCGAUGAUGCACUGUGGGCUUAUAGAACUGCAUAUAAGAAUCCCAUGGGCAUGUCUCCGUACAAAAUGGUGUACGGUAAAGCAUGUCAUCUACCUCUUGAGUUAGAGAAUAAAGCUUAUUGGGCUAUUAAAGAGCUCAACUUUGAUUUCAAACUUGCUGGUGAGAAGAGGUUAUUUGACAUUAGCUCGCUUGAUGAAUGGAGAACUCAGGCAUAUGAAAAUGCCAAGUUGUUCAAAGAAAAGGUUAAGAGGUGGCAUGAUAAGAGGAUACAAAAGCGUGAGUUCAGUGUAGGUGAUUAUGUCUUGUUAUAUAAUUCUCGUUUAAGAUUUUUUGCAGGCAAGCUUCUCUCUAAAUGGGAAGGUCCCUAUAUUGUUGAGGAAGUAUAUCGUUCUGGUGCUAUCAAAAUCAACAACAUGGAAGGUAAUUGUCCGAGAGUGGUAAACGGGCAGAGAAUCAAACAUUAUAUCUCAGGUACUCCCAUAAAUGUUGAGAGCAACAUUAUCAAUACCAUAACUCCGGAGGAGUACAUAAGGGAUAUUUUUCAGCCUGUUUCAGACUCCGAAAACGAAGAGGUAUGUGAUUCGGUAAGUAAACCGACUCCAAAACCUUUCCCGUAGCAAUUUUCCUCUGUUUUGGAAUAUUUGAAAAAUUAGAAAAAUUUAAAGCAGUCCGGAAAGUGCCCGAGGAGGCGACAAGCCUCCUAGCCCCGACCUACCCCCCUAGUCGGGGCUGGAGGGCUUGUGGCCACCUCGUGCGCCUCUCGGCCUCCAUUUUCGUGUGGAGUACUCCUUCUGGUCUGGAAAAAUCAUUAUAUAUUCUCCCGAAAGGUCUGACCUCUGUAUCACGCAAAUUCCCUCUAUUUUCGUUGCGACAUUGUUUUCUGCCGCAAAUCUAGGCCAAGAUGUCUUCUCAGGAUUCAGAGGGGGAGAGUUAUGUGGCUGAUUACCUCGCUAAAUCCAAGGUCUAUGGGGACUUGGAUCCUUAUGGGUGGACCACUCAUGAGGAAGAACAUUAUGAUCCCAAGGGAAAGGAACAAACAAGUUCCGAUGAAGAGGUGGCUCCUCUACCUCAACCUGGACACACGCAUGUGGAGUUCAAGAAGUCGAGCCUCCCUGAUUCAAGGAAGAAACCUAAGACUUUGUUUAUCCCUUGUCGUUUCUUGCAGGAGAGUAAGCAGGAAUUAUGCCAAAGGGUGUUGAAGCUUGAAGAAGAAAAUGACGAUCUGAGGGAGCAGAAUUUUAUGCUCAAGUGGAAAUUAAACAAGCUCAAGACCUCUUCAACAACUCCACCACCAUCACCUCCAAAGGAAUACAACUGAGCAUGGGUAUGCGCAAUCCCCUUGGCUUGUGCCAAGCUUGGGGGAGUUGCCUCGGUAUCGUAUCACCAUCAUAUCUUUUGCUUUUACCUUUGUUUUAGUUUGUUCAUUUUCAGUUUUCUCUUUCUCUAGUAGAAUAAAAGUCUUAGUGUUUUAGUCUUGAUUUUUGCUUUGUGUCACCCCCGAUGUAUUUGAGCUCGUGAGCCAUAUAAUAAAGAGUAUCUUAGUUGAAGGGCUUUGCCUCUUGCCAUGAUCAAAAUAUCGAGAAAGAACAAAAGCAUGAAAGAUCAUAUAGUGAUCCUAUGGGAAGUGAUGGCUUCACAUAUAAAAAGGAUGAUGAUUGAAACUUGUUGAGGGUAGACAAACGUAGACCUUGGUCAUUGUUGCAAUUAAUAGGAAGUGAUAAAGAAGGAGAGGUUCAAAUAUAAAUAUAUCAUCCUUGACACCAUAUGUGAUUGUGAACACUCACUAAACUAUUACAUGCCUAGAAGUAGAUGUUGGACAAGGAAGACAACAUAAUGAAUUGUGUUUGCUUGGUUCCGAACAAUGUUAUAUGAUUAGAGAUCCCUUAGAAUGUGACGAUUGCUUCCACCUCAUGUUAGCCAAAACUCCCGCACCAAGUAGAGAUACUACUUGUGCAUCCAUAAACCUUCAACCUAGUUUUGCCAUAAGAGUCCACCAUACCUACCUAUGGAUUGAAUAAGAUCCCUCAAGUAAGUUGUCAUCGGUGCAGGCAAUAAAAAUUGCUCCCUAAUAUGUAUUGCUGUUCUAAUUUUUGUCAUGAUGCCUGCAUGUUCGUAUCUUGUUUUGUCGACACCUCUCUCCCUAAACAUGUGGUCAUGUUUAUUGAGCUAGGCUUUCGCUUGAGGACAAGCGAGGUCUAAGCUUGGGGGAGUUGAUACGUCCAUUUUGCAUCAUGCUUUCAUGUUGAUAUUUAUUGCUUUUUGGGCUGUUCUUUCACUUCACGGUACAAUACUUAUGCCUUUUCUCUCUUAUUUUGCAAGGUUUACAUGAAGAGGAAGAAUACCGGCAGCUGGAAUUCUGGCCUGAAAAAGGAGCAAGUUUGAGAUGCCUAUUCUGUGCAACUCCAAAAGCCGUGAAAAUCAAUGUGGAUUUUUUUGGGAAUAUAUAAAAAAUAUUGGGCGGAAGAAGUACCAGAGGGGCGCCACCUGGAGGAAGAGUUUAUGUUCAGAUCCUUGUAGUUGAUUACUCCUUGUAGUCGAUGCUAGUUGGAUUAUUNUGAAGUGAACUACUCACGAGUCAUUGGAGGGGCGAUGUUGAUGAUGAAGAAGCCCUCCAUCUCUAAAGUCCCCUCCGGCAGGGUGCCGGGAAGGGUCUCCAGAUGAGAUCUCGCGGAAACGGAAGUUUGCGGCGGAGGAAAAGUAUUUUCGAGGCUCCCCUGAUUUUUUGCGGAAUAUUUGGGAAUUCAUAGGCGAAAGACCAGGGUCAGGGGGCGGCCAGGGAGGCCACAAGCCUGCCCACCGCCGCCUCCCCCCUGGUGGCGGAGUGGGGGCUUGUGGGCUCCCUGGAGCCCACCUAGCUUGGCCCAAAAGCCCCCUGGACUUCUUUCGUUCGGGAAAAAAUCAUUUUGGGGUUUUUCUUCCGUUUGGACUCCGUUCCAAAAUCAGAUCUGAAAAGAGUCAAAAACACGGAAAAACAGGAACUGGCACUUGGCACUGAAUUAAUAAGUUAGUCCAGAAAAGAUAUAAAAAGGUACAUAAAACAUACAAAGAAGACAAGAUAAAAACGAGAAAACAUCAAAAAUUAUAGAUAUGUUUGAGACGUAUCAAGCAUCCCCAAGCUUAACUCUUGCUCGUCCUCGAGUAGGGAAGUGAUAAGAAUGAAUUUUUUAUGCUUUCAUGCUACCUAGCAUAGGUGUCCUUUGUAAUUCCUCUUAUGUGACGUGAAUGUUCAGAUCCAUUAGAUUCAAAACAAUAUUUUGCUAUUGACGUGGAAACAAUAAUAAUUCAAGCAAACUAGCAAAGUAAUCAUGAACUUUCAAAAUAACAAGGACAAAAGAAAGUUAUCCCUACAAAAGCAUAUAGUCUGGCUAUGCUCUAUCAUCAUUGCACAACGAGUUUAAAUCAUGCACAACCCCGGUAUUGGCCAAGUAAUCGUUUCACACCUUUACUUUCUCAAACAUUUUCAACUCUCACGCAAUACAUGAGCGUGAGCCAUGGUUACAACACUAUAGAUGGUGUGGAAUGUGGUGGGGGUUGCAAGACAAAAAUGAGAAGAUAGUCACAUUAACUAGGCAUAUCAAUGAGAUGUGGAGAUGCUCAUCAAUAGAUAUCAAUGUGAAUGAGUAGGGAUUGCCAUACAAAUGAUGCACUAGAACUACAAGUAUGUGAAAGCUCUAAAAGAAAACUAGUGGGUGUGCAUCCAACUUGCUUGCUCACGGAGACCUAAGGCAAUUUUGAGGAAGCCUAUAAUUGGAAUAUACAAGCCAAGUUAUAUAAUGAUAAUUUCCCACUAGCUAUAUGGUGGUGACAAAACGAGAGACUCUCAAUCAUGAAGAUCAUGGUGCUCAAAAUGCACAAGUGUCGAAAAAGUGGUAGCAUUGUCCCUUCUCUCUUUUUCUCUCAUUUUUUAUUAUUUUUAUUUUGGUGGGCUCUUUGGACUCUUUUUUAUGGGCUUCUUUGGCCUCUUUUAUUUCCUCACAUGGGACAAUGCUCCAAUAAUGAUGAUCAUCACACUUUCAACUCAAAACUUAGAGCAAUUAUGACUCUAUAUGGAAUGCCUUGGGUAGUGUACCGUGGCAAUGAUCUAGCAUGGCAUAGACAUCAAUGGAAACAUCAUGCUAGCUAUCUUAUGAUCGUGCAAAGGCAAUGUAGACGUGGUGGCACAUAUCAUGGUGGUAGUUGCAUGGCAAUAUAUCUCGGAAUGACUUUGCAAAAGUCAUAGUAGGUAGGUAUGUGGCUCUUUUGAGGGAGGCUAAUGGUGGGUUUUGUGCACCAGCGAAAGUUGCACGGCACUAAGAAUAUAGUGAUGGUGGAAGGUGAAAGUGCAUCUAAACCAUGGAUUCAACAUUAGUCAUGAAGAACUCAUAUACUUGUUGCAAAAGUUUUAUUAGAAAUCGAAACAAAGCAUUCAACGCAUACUCCUAGGGGAAGGGUUGGUAGGUAUAAACCAUCAUGCGAUCCCGACCGACACGCAAAGGAUGACAAUCAAUAUACUAAUCAUGCUCAGACUUCAUCACAUAGCGGUUCACCAUACGUGCAUGCUACGGGAAUCACUAACUUCAAGACAAGUAUUUCUAGAUCCACAACACCUUACUAGCAUGACUUCUAUAUUACCAUAACCACAACUCAAAACUAAUUGAGAUGAAUCAAACUUCUCUAACUAUUCAAUGUACAUGAAGGUGGAAGUUUUCGUAUCCCUUUGGAUAACUACCCCUUUUGAGACUAAUUUCAAAGCAUAGAUCAACUACCAAGCCACGCACCGCUGUGCUCUAAAAGAUAUAAGUGAAGCACAUAGAGCAAAAGUAUCUAGCUCAAAAGAUAUAAGUGAAGCACAUGUGAGCUGAAUUGUCUACCAAAAGAUAUAAGUGAAGCUCGACAAAAUCACGGUGAGUGAAUGUAUCUCUCUCUAGGUGUGCAGCAAGGAUGAUUGUGACACAAAAAUACAUAAAAGACUCCCACGAUACAAGACGCUCCAAGCAAAAACACAUAACAUGUGGUGAAUAAAAAUAUAGCCCCAAGUAACGUUACCGAUGGAUUGAAGACGAGAGAGGGGAUGCCUUCCCGGGGCAUCCCCAAGCUUAGGCUUUUACGGCAUCCUUGAAUCUAUUGGGGUGCCUUGGGCAUCCCCAAGCUUGAGCUCUAGCCACUCUUUAUCUUUUUGUCCAUAAGAACUUCACCCAAAACUUGAAAACUUCACAACACGAAACUUAAACAGAAACUCAUGAUAACAUUAGUACAAGAAAGCAAACCACCACUUCCUUAGGUACUGUAGCAAACUUAAAUUAUACUUGUGCUGAUGUUGGGUUACUGUACUUUCAAUCUUCCAUGGCUAAUACCCCCCGAUACUAUCCAUAGUUUCAUCAAAAUAAGCAACCAACAAAACAAAAACAGAAUCUGUUCACAGCAGACCAGUCUGUAGCAAUCUGUAUGUUUAGUAUACCUCUGGUACUUUAAAAAUUCUGAAAAAUUACGACAGUCUGAAGAAUUUGCGUAGCAAUCAGUAUCAAAAAGAAUCAACUCAAUAUCUCUUACAGAAAAAAGUGAACAUUCUUUUCGUGAGCAGAAAGUUUCUGUCUUUUCCAGCGUGACCAAACGAUCAUCCUCAAGACUAAUCAUAACGGUUUUGCUUGGCACAAACGCAAAAAGAAACACAAAAAACACAAUCAUAACAGAAUUAUGAAAGUGUGUAAAACAAAAAACAGAAAGAAAAAGGAUAGAUUCAUUGGGUUGCCUCCCAACAAGCGCUUUUGUUUUACGCCCUUAGCUAGGCAAAAGUGAUGGAAUCACGUAUAGUUAUCUUUGGUACUCAAACCAUAAGUAGCGUGAUCAUUUAUCAUCUUAAGAUUUUCAUCUUUAUUAGAUGAAUCACCACUAGCUCUAGGAACAAAAACAGGCUUGACGGUCUUUUUGAGAGUAAGAUUUGGAGUAUUUUGCAGAGCGGCAAAAGCGGAACCCAAGUUGGUUAUGACAUCUUCUAAUUUGCCAAUUCUAGAAGAAUCAUUAACUAUAAGUUCCUUCUCAUUUAAAUUUUUCAAAAAGUUUCCCACUUUGGAUCUGUACUGAGUAAUUUGAUUGUGGAUCUUUCUAUCCAAACCCUCAAUAAGUUCAACUGUGGCAAUUUUGUUUUCAAUAGCGUCAAGCCUUUGCAUCACGUGUUCCAAGGUCAAGGUAGUUCCAUUAACCAUGAGCGGGGGUGAGCCUACCAAAUUAAUGAUAGCUCUAUAGGAGUCAACAAUAUGGCUCCCCAAAAAGUUCCCGCCUACAAUGGUAUCAAGGAUAUACCUAUUCCAAGGAGAAAUUCCAACAUAGAAACUGCGAAGGAGGACGGUAGUGGAUUGCUUACGAGUUGAUCUACUUUGAGCAUUGCAAAUCCUGUACCAAGCGUCCUUCAAAUUUUCUUCCUCAUUCUGCGUGAAAUUGAGAACUUCAUUUUCAGGGAUGUCAUUUGGAGUGGUGGGUCUAGCCAUUGAUGGACUAUCUCACGCACAAACGAGCGGGAAGAGAGAAUGAAACGGGCAAAAGGAAACGGCGAAGGAGAAAGGCGAAUGAAAACGGCAAAUGUGAAGUGGAGGAGAGGAAAACGAGAGGCAACUGGCAACAAAAGUAAAUGCAAGAGAAGAGUUUGUGAGACCAAAUUGGAUAGAUCUUGAUUUCUCCUCCCCGGCAACGGCGCCAGAAAUACUACUGAUGUUUGCUGUGUAUCCCUUGCAACGGCGCCAGAAAUAGUUGUGUCGACGGCACCAGGAAUCCUUCAGCUACGGCUACGCCUUAAGGGACUUCCUAGGCAAGUAUGCAAAGGAUUUCCCCCGUGGCCUUGGAGCCUUGCGUUGGUGUUCCCUCGAAGCGGAAAGGGUGAUGUAGCACAGCGAUGGUAAGUAUUUCCCUCAGUUUGAGAACCAAGGUAUCAAUCCGCGGAAGAAUAUCUCAAGAUCCUGCACAAACACAAAAGCUUGCACCCAACACUAUGAAGGGGUUGUCAAUCCCUUAUAGAUUGUUUGCCAAGUGAGAACUGAAAGCAACAAAGUAACAAAGCAAAGUAAAAGCGGAGAUGUAAACGAUGGAUGUGAAUAGACCUGGGGGCCAUAGUCUUUACUAGUGGCUUCUCUCAUGAAAGCAAGACGGUGGGUGAACAAAUUACUGUCGAGCAAUUGAUAGAACCGCGCAAAGUCGUGACGAUAUCUAUGCAAUGAUUAUUUCUAUAGGCAUCACGUCCGAAACAAGUAGUCCGAUACUUUCUGCAUCUACUACAAUUACUCCAGAAGUCGACCGCUAUCCAGCANAGAACUUUGUAUUGAAGAUCCAAGAGAGAGAAGAAGCCGUCUAGCUACUAACUACGGACCCGUAGGUCUGAAGUGAACUACUCACGAGUCAUUGGAGGGGCGAUUAUGAUGAUGAAGAAGCCCUCCAACUCCAAAGUCCCCUCUGGCAGGGUGCCGGGAAGGGUCUCCAGAUGAGAUCUCUCGAAAACGGAAGCUUGCGGCGGCGGAAAAGUAUUUUCGAGGCUCCCCUGAUUUUUUGCGGAAUAUUUGGGAAUUUAUAGGCCAAAUACCUAGGUCAGGGGGCAGCCAGGGAGGCCACAAGCCUGGCCACCGCCGCCUCCCCCCUGGUGGCGGAGUGGGGGCUUGUGGUCUCCCUGGAGCCCACCUGGCUUGGCCCAAAAGCCCCAUGGACUUCUUCCAUUCGGGAAAAAAUCAUUUCGGGGUUUUUCUUCCGUUUGUUCUCCGUUCCAAAAUCAGAUCUGAAAAGAGUCAAAAACACGGAAAAAAGAGGAACUGGCACUUGGCACUGAAUUAAUAAGUUAGUCCCAAAAAGAUAUAAAAAGGUACAUAAAACAUACAAAGAAUACAAGAUAACAACGUGAAAACAUCAAAAAUUAUAGAUACGUUUGAGACGUAUCAAUCAUCAAGUACCAAAUGAUGUUUUGAGGAAUUACAUUGAGUGGACAACCCAAAAACCUUCUUCCCGUGCUUGCUCCACCCCAAGAAACACGACGAGCAGGAAUUAGCCCAUGCCCCGGGCAACGGUGAUUCGAGCGCUCCUCAAGGCCGUAGAAACUUGGAUUGGGAAUGAAAAACUCGGAUUGGAACUGCACAAUCCCGCAGCCAUCCACCUACGAGACAGAAAGGCGCAUAUUACGGCCCAUCCCGCAAAACCCUAGAUGAGAAAUCCCCAAAUCCAAUGUCAACCGAAAAUCCAAAUCGACUUACCUCACUGUCUACGGAGGAGCUUGCAGACGACAUUGCGGACGUACACAUGGACGUGCCCCAGCGGUGAAAAUAGGGAUGGGGUGUGACGGACCGCUAAAUCUAGUCAAAUCUCGGGAAAAAUGGAGCUCCGAGGUCGAGCUUUGAGAGGAGAAAGCUUAACUAGUGUGGCUCGGGCAUUUCAUCGAACACCUCAUGUGCAUAGGAGGUGAGCUAGAGCGCCCAAAUGCCCUCCCCUCGCCGGCCAGAAAAAACAGAGUGCUCUGCCGUGGCGAUGGGUAUAUAUAGGCAAAUUAUUUGUCCCGGUUCGUGGCAUAAACCGGGGCUAAAGCCCCCCUUCUAAACCGGUUCAAGGCACGAACCGGUACCAAUGGAUGUUGGCCAGGAGCGCAGCCCAUUGGUCCUGGUUCGUGCCUAGAACCGGGACAAAUGGGUCCAGACGAAUCGGGACCAAUGCCCACGAGGCCCCGGCCGGACCCCUGGGCUCAUGAACCAUGACUAAUGCCCCCCCAUGGGUCCCGGUUCGUGAAGAACCAGGACUAAUGGGUUGUCCAGGCCCGAACCAAAGCCUUGUUUUCUACUAGUGCCCCUUCCGCCGUCGAGCUGCCAUUGGUACCCCCAGUCCGCCGCCGGCUCUGGGGCGUUGCUUUCAGCCGAAUCUUCGGGGCGAAUCGUGCCGCUGGUGCGCCGCUGCCCUCUUUCGCCGAGCCGCUGCACCGGCGCCCCUUGAUCCGCCAAUCCACGUCUGUGGGAGAGCCACCGUCGGAGAUGGACUUGAGCCGGAGAUGGAUUCAUCCUCUUCGGAUGACUCGGAUGUUGAGAAGAUGCUUCUGACAUUUCACGAGCAGAGCUUGGUGAUGACCCUUGCUGUGAAGGAGCACGAAGACGAGAAACAAAAGAGGCGGCAUGGAUCCACUGUUGUCCGACUUUGCAUUCCUCGGAAUCGCCAUCUCGGCAGCGAGAUGCUAAUGCGAGACUACUUCAUCGUCAAUCCAACAUACCCGUCGCACCUCUUCCGGAGAAGGUACCGUAUGCGCAGAUCCCUCUUUGUUAAAAUUGUUGAAGCUUGCGAGGCGAAUUGUCGUUAUUUUACUCAAAGAAGGAAUGUCACGGGCUUGAAGGAAUUUAGUGCAUAUGAGAAAAUCUCGGUAGCUAUGUGUGUAAUUUCAUACGGCGUUCUGGCUGACUAUACCGACGAGUACCUUCGGAUUGAGUAAGAUAGUACAAUUGAGUUAGUUCAUAGGUUUGUCAAAGUGAUUGUCUGUGUCUUUGGUCCUCAAUAUCUUCGGACACCGAACGAGGAAGACACAAAAAAGUAUGGCAUUUAACGAAAGAAGAGGUUGGCCUCGCAUGUUAGGGAGCAUAGGUUGUAUGCAUUGGACUUGAAAAAAUUGCCCAAAAGCAUGGCAAGAAAUGUAUUAUGCCAAGUCUCGUGAUGUAAUAAUUGUGCUGGAGACCGUAGCUUCACAUGAUUUAUGGAUUUGGCAUUGCUUUUUUGUAUGUCGGGUACUCUAAAUGAUAUCAAUGUGUUGCGACGAUCUUAUUUGCUUGCUAUACUUGCUAGGGGUGAUGCUUCAGCUUGCAACUACACUAUCAAUGGGCAUGAAUACACAAAAGAAUACUAUCUUGCAGAUGAUAUAUAUCCUUCUUGGUGUAUAUUUGUGAAGGGCAUCAAAGACCCCCAAAGUAGGAAAGAGACUGAAUUCACAAGGGCACAAGAGGCAGCCCGAAAAGACAUUGAAAGAGCAUUUGGGGUUUUGUAAUCUAGGUUUGUCAUUGUUCGUGGUCCUGCUCAAUUUUGGGACAAGCGAUCCUUAAAAAUAUCAUGACAUGCCGUGUUAUUCUUCAUAAUAUGAUUCUCGAAGAUGAGAGAGGCAUGAACUUGGAGUUCUUCUAUGAUAAUGUGGACAGCCGUGUUAAAUCCGCUAGAGAUCCUAACCGAAUCAGAGCUUUUCUUCAGACCUACAGGGUGAUUGAAAAUGCAAACACCCACUGUCAACUUCGAAAGGAUCUCAUUGAGCACCAUUGGCAAAGGGCUGGGGAAUAGCAACAUUCCUUUUUCCAUCCAUUUAUCCAUUUAUUUUCAUUUCAUUCAUGUGUGAUUUGUGUACGGGACAAGUUUUGUAUUUAUGUGUGACAUUCAUUUAGUUUGCUAUGGUGAUUUAAAUAAUUAUUAUACUUUGAAUGAUUAAUGUAUUUAAAAUAUUGACAUUCUGUUUAUUUUGCACAUGAUGAGUAAUUCUAAUUUACGGGGUAUUCGGUUUGUGGGUCGACAGGGCGACGCCUGAGCAGAUCCCGCAUUAAAGACCCGUAUGCUAGCAUCUUCUGCGAAUAUGCUUUUAUACGGAUCCGUUUUGAAGAGUCUGUGUCCCACUCAUGCUACUUGGGACGUGUGAUCUAGUGCACAGUUACACGUAUCAAUGCGGCAGCGGCAUCUUACGUGCAUUGGUUAUCAUGACAGUUGUGCAGUAAACAACGGGAAAACGGGACUUGUGGAGUGUGCGGUAACAAAAAUGCUAAACAUACGGACAACUUCAACAGACUUUUACGGGACAGCAAACGUGGCACCAUCUAAUUUGCCCCCCUGAUUUUCACUCGUGGGGCUGUGCUCUUUAAUUAAAUCCGAAUCAAUCGUCCUUAAUGAGCCCGUAAAUCAUCUGUAAAAAGCCCGUAUGUCUAGCAUUAUUGGUGCGGUAAACAGCGGCUUGGUAGACGGUUGUCGUAAUAUUGUGCGUAAUAUGCAGCCAUUUCCUACUAGUGCGCUCAUCGCCGUUUACGGGCUAAUUCCCCAACCGGCACACACCCCUCUCCGACCUGAACCGGCCAAUGUAUCUUCUUCUUCUUUUUUUCUAAUACUUCUAUACUAUUCCCUGUACGUUGAUUGUUUUUUUGAGGGCUCAUAUUAGGUUUUUUCUUUUUCUUUUUCUUCUUACUUUUAAUUUUUUUAAAUCCGUGAACUUUAUGAAAUUUUGAAUUUUUUUUCUUAAAAUUCAUUAUAAACUUGCAAACUUUUUCUUUCAAAAUCCAUGAACUUUUUUCAAAAUUUUGAUGAUUUCUUUAAAACCAAUGAAAUUAUCCAAUUUUGAGAACCUUUUUAAAAAGUGAUGAACUUGCUUUCAAAUUUGGCGGACUAUUUUUCGGAAUUGAUGAUCGUUUUUUUUAAAUUGAUGAACUAUUUUAAAACCGAUGAUCUUUGUUGAAAUUUCUGAACUUUUCUUCAAAAUCAAUGAACUUUUUCUAAAGUCUCACUUCUUUUCAAAAUUGAUAACUCUUUCCAGAUUUACAUUUUUUAUUGAACUUUUGAAAAGUCAAUGAUCAAUUGGUCAACCUGUAAACUAGUCAACUGAACAACCCGUCAACCGAGGCGUGAUGCAUGCGAGAGCAAUUCGGUAGGGUGACGCCGUACAUGACUAAUGACCCACAAGUAUAGGGAAUCAAUCGUAGUCCUUUCGAUAAGUAAGAGUAUCGAACCCAACGAGGAGCAGAAGGAUCUGACAAGUGGUUUUGAGUAAGGAAAUAUCUGCAAGCACUCAAAUUAUCGGUAACAAGUGAUUGUGUGGUGAGAUGAUUCAUAGCGAGCAACAAGUAACAAAAGUAGCAAUGGUGCAGCAAAGUGGCACAAUCCCUUUUGUAGCAAGGGACAAGCCUGGACAAAGUCUUAUAGGAGGAAAAACGCUCCCGAGGACACACGGGAAUUUCUGUCAUGCUAGUUUCAUCAUGUUCAUAUGAUUCGCGUUCGUUACUUUGAUAGUUUGAUAUGUGGGUAGACCGGCGCUUGGGUACUGCCCUUACUUGGACAAGCAUCCCACUUAUGAUUAACCCCUCUCGCAAGCAUCCGCAACUACGAAAGAAGAAUUAAGUCAAAGUCUAACCAUAGCAUUCAACUAGUUGAUCCAAAUCAGCCCCUUACGAAGCAACGCAUAAACUAGGGUUUAAGCUUCUGUCACUCUGGCAACCCAUCAUCUACUUAUUACUUCCCAAUACCUUCCUCUAGGCCAAAAUAAUGGUGAAGUGUUAUGUAGUCGACGUUCACAUAACACCACUAGAGGAAAAACAACAUACAACAUAUCAAAUUACCGAACGAAUACCAAAUUCACAUGACUACUAUUAGCAUGACUUAUCCCAUGUCCUCAGGAACAAAAUUAACUACUCACAAAGCAUNNNNNNNNNNNNNNNNNNNNNNNNNNNNNNNNNNNNNNNNNNNNNNNNNNNNNNNNNNNNNNNNNNNNNNNNNNNNNNNNNNNNNNNNNNNNNNNNNNNNNNNNNNNNNNNNNNNNNNNNNNNNNNNNNNNNNNNNNNNNNNNNNNNNNNNNNNNNNNNNNNNNNNNNNNNNNNNNNNNNNNNNNNNNNNNNNNNNAACUAGCAUCAACUACAAAGAGUACCAAUCGGAGCCGCGAGACGGAGAUUGGUUACAAGUGAUGAACUAGGGUUUGGAGAUGAGAUGGUGCUGAUGAAGAUGUUGAUGGUGACGAGUGCCCUCCGAUGAGAGGAGUGUUGGUGAAGAUGAUGGCGACGAUUUCACCCUCCGGGAGGGAAGUUUCCCCGGCAGGAUCGUCCUGCCGGAGCUCUAGAUUGGUUCUGCUCAAGUUCCGCCUCGUGGCGGCGGCGAAACCACGAAAAACCUCCUCCUUGAUUUUUUCUGGACGAAACCCUUCAUAUAGAAAAAGAGGGGGCAAGUGGGCCAGCAGGUUACCCACAAGCCCUCAUGGUGCGGCCUAGGGGGUGGCCGCACCGUGCAGGCUUGUGGCCAACCCCUGGCGCCCCUCUGGCACUUCUUCGGCCCAGUAUUUUUUAUAAAUCCGGAAAAAAAUCCUCGUUGAUUUUUACAGCGUUUGGAGUUGCGCAGAAUAGGUAUCUCAACUUUGCUCCAUUUUUAGGCCAGAAUUCCAGUUGCCGGCAUUCUCCCUCUUCAUGUAAACCUUGCAAAAUAAGAGAGAAAAUGCAUAAGAAUUGUACUGUGAAGUGGAAUAACAGCCAAAGAAGCGAUAAAUAUCAACAUGAAAACAUGAUGCAAAAUGGACGUAUCAACUCCCCCAAGCUUAGACCUCGCUUGUCCUCAAGCGAAAACCUAGCUUCAUAGAUAUGUCCACAUGUUUAGGGAGAGAGGUGUCGACAAAACAAGACACGAACAUGCAUGCAUCAUGAUCAAGAUCAGAACAGCAAUACCAACAUAUAAUCUCUCAUGCUAAAGUGAUAAUUCCUUCACAAAGUAAGGCAUGGAUCAAGAACCUUACCGAGAAGUAACAACCGAUAGCCUUUAGUUAUUGAAGCAUUUGCUAUUUAUCACAACAUCAGAAAGAGUCAAAUAAGAGCUUGUAAAGCAAAUCCACAUACUCAAUCAUUCUUUCGUUCUCUACAAUUGCUACAACUCACGUGGUACUCAUGAGAUCAAAGUUUCAGCUGGACACAGAGAAAGAUAGGGGCUUAAAGUUUUUCCUCCCAACUGCUUACCUCAAGGGUAAUGUCAACAAUAAUAAUUCAUGAGUACUUACCUCCAAGUUGACAUAUGAAUAUAGAUCUUUCCCAAGCAUAUGACGUUAGCCAAGAUAAAGGCGAAAUAAGGAAUUGGUGAAGAUCACCAUUACUCUUUCAAGGGCAAAAAGUAAAGGUACAAGAUAGGCCCUUCGCAGAGGGGAGCAGAGGUUGUCAUGCGCUUUUGAGGUUUGGAUGUGUGUCCUCUUAGUGCGGAGGAAUGUCACUUUAUAUUGCCUCCUGUGAUAAAGAACUUUAUUAUGCAGUCUGUUGCUUUUAUGUCUUCCUCAUCACAGGUUCGUACAAAGCUUACUUUCCACACACUAAUAGAUCAUACAUAUUAGAGAGCAAUUUUUAUUGCUUGCACCGAUGACAACUUACUUGAGGGAUCUUAUUCAACCCAUAGGUAGGUAUGGUGGACACUCAUGGCAAAACUGGGUUGAUGGUUUAUGGAUGCACAAGUAGUAUCUCUACUUGGUGCUGGAGGUUUUGGCUAAUAUGAGGUGGAAGCAAUCGUCACAUGCUAAGGGAUCUCUAAUCAUAUAACAUUGUUCAGAGCCAAGCAAACACAAUUCAUUACGUUGUCUUCCUUGUCCAACAUGUACUUCUAGGCAUGUAAUAGUUUAGUGAGUGUUCACAAUAAUAGAUGGUGUCAGAGAUGAUAUAUUUAUAUGUGAACCUAUCCUUUAUCACUUCCUAUUAAUUGCAACCAUGACCAAGGUCUACGUUUGCCUACCCUCAACAAGUUUCAAUCCUCAUUCUUUUUAUAUGUGAAGCCAUCACUUGCCAUAAGAUCAUUACAUGAUCUUUCAUGCUUUUGUUCUAUUCUCACUCUUUUGAUCAUGGCAAGAGGCAAAGCCCUUCAACUAAGACACUCUUUAUUAUAUGGCUCACGAGAUCGAAUACAUUGGGGGUGACACAAAGCAAAACUCAAGACUGAAACAUUAAGACUUUUAAUCUACUAGAGAAAGAGAAAACUGAAAAGGAAAACUAAAACAAAGGUAAAGGCAAAAGAUGUGAUGGUGAUACGAUACCGAGGCAACUCCCCCAAGCUUGGCACAAGCCAAGGGGAUUGCUCAUACCAAUGCUCAGUUGUCUUCCUUUGGUGGUGAUGGUGGAGGAGUUGCAACACGAGUUUGAUCCUC
rnacentral:lncRNA from 1 species